rnacentral:rRNA from 1 species
UACGUAGGGACCAAGCGUUGUUCGGAUUUACUGGGCGUAAAGGGCGCGUAGGCGGCAUGACAAGUCACUUGUGAAAUCUCCGGGCUUAACUCGGAACGGCCAAGUGAUACUGUCGCGCUAGAGUGCAGAAGGGGCAAUCGGAAUUCUUGGUGUAGCGGUGAAAUGCGUAGAUAUCAAGAGGAACACCUGAGGUGAAGACGGGUUGCUGGGCUGACACUGACGCUGAGGCGCGAAAGCGUGGGGAGCGAACAGG